UCCCCUGGAGAAGGAGCUGGCAAGCGACUCCAGUAUUCUUGCCUGGAAAAUCCCAUGGACAGAGGAGCCUGGCGGGCUACAGUCCAUAGGAUCACAAAGAGCCUGACACGACUGAGCACUACUCCUACUAUUGGCUUUUUCUCUGGCAGAGGGCCACACAGAGAGGCCUCGCAUCCAGCCCUUCAAACCAGAGUUCCCAGGUCCACAGGCUGCAACUGACACAGCCAAACGACUGCCGACGACCAGGCACAGCACUCAGUUCAGGAUGGUGGCGGCAGGUCGCUUGCUGUGCCUGUGCUGUGA